UAACUACUCUCUUCGUUUCAAAUUUCGUGUCUUAGAUUUGUGUAUAUGUGAACGUAUCUAGUCAAGUUUUAGUAUUUGGAUACAUCCAUUUCUAGACAAAGCUAAGACAAGAAUUUUGGAACGGAGGAAGUAUGUC
rnacentral:pre_miRNA from 1 species